CUGAAACAUCUAAGUACCCCGAGGAAAAGAAAUCAACCGAGAUUCCCCCAGUAGCGGCGAGCGAACGGGGAGCAGCCCAGAGUCUGAAUCAGCUUGUGUGUUAGUGGAACGGUCUGGAAAGUCCGACGGUACAGGGUGAUAGUCCCGUACACCAAAAUGCACAGGUUGUGAACUCGAAGAGUAGGGCGGGACACGUGGUAUCCUGUCUGAAUAUGGGGGGACCAUCCUCCAAGGCUAAAUACUCCUGACUGACCGAUAGUGAACCAGUACCGUGAGGGAAAGGCGAAAAGAACCCCGGCGAGGGGAGUGAAAAAGAACCUGAAACCGUGUACGUACAAGCAGUGGGAGCCUCUUUAUGGGGUGACUGCGUACCUUUUGUAUAAUGGGUCAGCGACUUAUAUUCUGUAGCAAGGUUAACCGUAUAGGGGAGCCGAAGGGAAACCGAGUCUUAACUGGGCGUUAAGUUGCAGGGUAUAGACCCGAAACCCGGUGAUCUAGCCAUGGGCAGGUUGAAGGUUGGGUAACACUAACUGGAGGACCGAACCGACUAAUGUUGAAAAAUUAGCGGAUGACUUGUGGCUGGGGGUGAAAGGCCAAUCAAACCGGGAGAUAGCUGGUUCUCCCCGAAAGCUAUUUAGGUAGCGCCUCGUGAAUUCAUCUUCGGGGGUAGAGCACUGUUUCGGCUAGGGGGUCAUCCCGACUUACCAACCCGAUGCAAACUGCGAAUACCGAAGAAUGUUAUCACGGGAGACACACGGCGGGUGCUAACGUCCGUCGUGAAGAGGGAAACAACCCAGACCGCCAGCUAAGGUCCCAAAGUCAUGGUUAAGUGGGAAACGAUGUGGGAAGGCACAGACAGCCAGGAUGUUGGCUUAGAAGCAGCCAUCAUUUAAAGAAAGCGUAAUAGCUCACUGGUCGAGUCGGCCUGCGCGGAAGAUGUAACGGGGCUAAACCAUGCACCGAAGCUGCGGCAGCGACACUAUGUGUUGUUGGGUAGGGGAGCGUUCUGUAAGCCGUUGAAGGUGGCCUGUGAGGGUUGCUGGAGGUAUCAGAAGUGCGAAUGCUGACAUAAGUAACGAUAAUGCGGGUGAAAAACCCGCACGCCGGAAGACCAAGGGUUCCUGUCCAACGUUAAUCGGGGCAGGGUGAGUCGACCCCUAAGGCGAGGCCGAAAGGCGUAGUCGAUGGGAAACAGGUUAAUAUUCCUGUACUUGGUGUUACUGCGAAGGGGGGACGGAGAAGGCUAUGUUAGCCGGGCGACGGUUGUCCCGGUUUAAGCAUGUAGGCGGAGGUUCCAGGUAAAUCCGGUACCUUUUUAACGCUGAGGUGUGAUGACGAGGCACUACGGUGCUGAAGUAACAAAUGCCCUGCUUCCAGGAAAAGCCUCUAAGCAUCAGGUAACACGAAAUCGUACCCCAAACCGACACAGGUGGUCAGGUAGAGAAUACCAAGGCGCUUGAGAGAACUCGGGUGAAGGAACUAGGCAAAAUGGUGCCGUAACUUCGGGAGAAGGCACGCUGAUAUGUAGGUGAAGUGAUUUACUCAUGGAGCUGAAAUCAGUCGAAGAUACCAGCUGGCUGCAACUGUUUAUUAAAAACACAGCACUGUGCAAACACGAAAGUGGACGUAUACGGUGUGACGCCUGCCCGGUGCCGGAAGGUUAAUUGAUGGGGUUAUCCGUAAGGAGAAGCUCUUGAUCGAAGCCCCGGUAAACGGCGGCCGUAACUAUAACGGUCCUAAGGUAGCGAAAUUCCUUGUCGGGUAAGUUCCGACCUGCACGAAUGGCGUAAUGAUGGCCAGGCUGUCUCCACCCGAGACUCAGUGAAAUUGAACUCGCUGUGAAGAUGCAGUGUACCCGCGGCAAGACGGAAAGACCCCGUGAACCUUUACUAUAGCUUGACACUGAACACUGGUCCUUGAUGUGUAGGAUAGGUGGGAGGCUUUGAAGUGUGGACGCCAGUCUGCAUGGAGCCAUCCUUGAAAUACCACCCUUUAAUGGCUGGUGUUCUAACGUGGACCCGUGAUCCGGGUUGCGGACAGUGUCUGGUGGGUAGUUUGACUGGGGCGGUCUCCUCCUAAAGAGUAACGGAGGAGCACGAAGGUUAGCUAAUCCUGGUCGGACAUCAGGAGGUUAGUGCAAAGGCAUAAGCUAGCUUGACUGCGAGAGUGACGGCUCGAGCAGGUGCGAAAGCAGGUCUUAGUGAUCCGGUGGUUCUGAAUGGAAGGGCCAUCGCUCAACGGAUAAAAGGUACUCCGGGGAUAACAGGCUGAUACCGCCCAAGAGUUCAUAUCGACGGCGGUGUUUGGCACCUCGAUGUCGGCUCAUCACAUCCUGGGGCUGAAGUAGGUCCCAAGGGUAUGGCUGUUCGCCAUUUAAAGUGGUACGCGAGCUGGGUUUAGAACGUCGUGAGACAGUUCGGUCCCUAUCUGCCGUGGGCGCUGGAGAAUUGAGGGGGGCUGCUCCUAGUACGAGAGGACCGGAGUGGACGCAUCACUGGUGUUCGGGUUGUCAUGCCAAUGGCAUUGCCCGGUAGCUAAAUGCGGAAGAGAUAAGUGCUGAAAGCAUCUAAGCACGAAACUUGCCCCGAGAUGAGUUCUCCCUGAGACUAUAAGUCUCCUGAAGGAACGUUAAAGACGAUGACGUUGAUAGGUCGGGUGUGUAAGUGUAGCGAUACAUUGAGCUAACCGAUACUAAUGAACCGUGAGGCUUAACCUU
rnacentral:rRNA from 1 species